UAAGCUACUAAGGGCACAUGGUGGAUGCCUAGGCAGCAAGAGGCGAUGAAGGACGUAGGAGCCUGCGAAAAGCCUCGGGGAGCGGGCAAGCACGCUAUGAUCCGAGGAUGUCCGAAUGGGGAAACCCGGCUCGGAGAACCGAGUCACCCGCAAGGGAGCCAACCCAGGGAACUGAAACAUCUAAGUACCUGGUGGAAAGGAAAUCAAUAGAGACUCCGUCAGUAGCGGCGAGCGAACGCGGAAAAGCCCAAACCGUCCCAGGUUUCUGGGGCGGGGUUGUAGGACCUACACAACGGUACAUGCAAGGCUAGCAGAAGUGGUUGGAAAGCCACGGCACAGAGGGUGACACCCCCGUAUGCGAAAGUUGAGCAUGGCCAGUAGGAUUCCUGAGUACCCUCGGGCACGUGAAACCCGGGGGGAAUCUGGGAGGACCAUCUUCCAAGGCUAAGUACUACUUGCUGACCGAUAGUGAACAAGUACCGUGAGGGAAAGGUGAAAAGAACGCCGAGAAGGCGAGUGAAAUAGUACCUGAAACCGUGUGCUUACAAGCGGUCGGAGCUGCAUUUAUGUAGUGACGGCGUGCCUUUUGUAUAAUGAGCCUACGAGUUGCUCCUGUUGUGCGAGGUUAAGCCCCUAAGGGGUGGAGCCGUAGCGAAAGCGAGUCUGAAUAGGGCGUUUGUCAGUGUUUAUAGACCCGAACCCGGGUGAUCUAACCAUGGCCAGGAUGAAGCUUGGGUGAUACCAAGUGGAGGUCCGAACCGACUGAUGUUGAAAAAUCAGCGGAUGAGCUGUGGUUAGGGGUGAAAUGCCAAUCGAACCCGGAGCUAGCUGGUUCUCCCCGAAAUACGUUGAGGCGUAGCGUCUCGUGCUCCAGCAGGGGGGUAAAGCCACCAUUUCGGUGCGGGCUGCGAGAGCGGUACCAAAUCGAGAUGAACUCUGAAUACCCUGUGUGUAGCGAGGCAGUCAGACUGUGGGGGAUAAGCUCCAUGGUCGAGAGGGAAACAGCCCAGACCGCCAGCUAAGGUCCCCAAAUCAACACUAAGUGAUAAAGGAGGUGGGAUUGCCCAGACAACCAGGAGGUUUGCCUAGAAGCAGCCAUCCUCAAAGGAGUGCGUAAUAGCUCACUGGUCGAGCGAUCCUGCGCCGAAAAUGAAUGGGGCUAAGUGUUGUACCGAAGCUGCGGAUUUAUGGUAGGGGAGCGUUCUAUGUGGGGCGAAGCGUUAGCGUGAGCGGGCGUGGACUGCAUAGAAGUGAGAAUGUCGGCUUGAGUAGCGAAAACAUGGGUGAGAAUCCCAUGCACCGAAACCCUAAGGGUUCCUCCGGCAGGCUCGUCCGCGGAGGGUUAGUCUGGACCUAAGGCGAGGCCGAAAGGCGUAGUCGAUGGACAGCAGAUUAAUAUUUCUGCCCCGCUUUUGUGGAGUGAUGGGGUGACGCAUUAGGAUAGGCCAACCGGAGCUAUGGCUAUGCCCGGCGGGUAACGAAGCUUUUCAGGAUAGGAAAAUCCGCCUGAUACUAGAGUGACGUUAUUCGGGAAGGCCCCAAGGGGCUGAUAACUGGUUGAAUCCACGGUGCCAAGAAAAACCUCUAAACGUUGAAGCAAGAGCGCCCGUACCGAUAACCGACACAGGUGGGCGAGUGUAAAAGCACUAAGGCGCGCGAGAAAACUCUCUCUAAGGAACUCUGCAAAAUGGCCCCGUAACUUCGGGAGAAGGGGUCCCGUGUGUACCGUGAGGCAACUUGCGGGAGACGGGCACAGUAAAUCGGCUCUAGCGACUGUUUACCACAAUCACAGCACUCUGCAAACCCGCGUAGGGGACGUAUAGGGUGUGACACCUGCCCGGUGCCGG
rnacentral:rRNA from 1 species